rnacentral:miRNA from 1 species
CUGAUGUUCCCCAUCCCGCA